AAACCGUUCAGGGGUAAACCUGAGAAACCCAAAAGAUCGAAUGGGGAGAUUCAUCGUCAGCGGCGAAGGCUUGCGGGCGUGUCGCGAUGCUCGCGGGGCCUCGGCUCCGCGGCACGUGUCCGCUUGUUCAUGUCCGGCGUCGUCGGCGUGCACUUCUCCCCUAGUAGGACGUCGCGACCCGUUGGGUGUCGGUCUACGGCCCGGGUGGUCGCCUGUCGCGUCGCUUCGGCGCACGCGGCAGACCCCCGGCUGCCCGACCGGCUGCCCGGCGGUACUCGCACGGUAUCGAGCCGCAAUUCUUGACUGCGUCCGUCCCGCCGCAAGCGCGGCCAGUGACACCCGGAGGUGCGGACCUAGUGCCGUCCCCGGGCCUGGCCACCUGUUGGUUGGCGGUGUCCUCGGACCGGCUCUGUUGAAAUGUGAUACCGGUCGGCGUCGCUACUGCUAUGGGAUCUUUCAGGA
rnacentral:rRNA from 1 species